rnacentral:rRNA from 2 species
CCUGGCGGAGAUAGCGCGGUGGUCCCACCUGACCCCAUGCCGAACUCAGAAGUGAAACGCCGUAGCGCCGAUGGUAGUGUGGGGCUU